rnacentral:rRNA from 1 species
AGUAUUUUUUAAUUGUAUUAUUUGGUAUUGCAUAUCAGUAGAAGAGUUUUUCAUAAUUUAUGAUUAAUAGAAUUAAGGUGUUAAGGUGAUUUUUUUUUUGUUUUUACGAAAUUAAAAAUAUUUCGCCUGGUUAUUGAUAGAACGUAUUUUUAUUUCUGUUUGUUGUUUUGAUGAUAGUUUGAGUUAUUUUUUAUUUAUUAUUUGGUUUUUAGUUUUUUAGUUGGAUGUUUAAUUUUUUUAGAUUUUUUUUUGAUUUUUUUUUGUUAUUUAAUUGAUUUUUCAAUUUUUAUAUAAUUUUUACUUUAGUAAAUUUUUUUUUAUAAUCGUUUUUUUUUUUUAAUUUUGUUUUUGAACUUGAUUUGCUGUUAAAUGUUUAUUAAAAACUUAGGUUUUUUUUUAAAGUUGUCUUCUGCUCUAUGAUUUUUUUAAAUGGCAGCCUUAGCGUGAUGGCAUCAAAGUAGCGUAAGUGAUUUGUUUUUUUAGUGUUUUCAAGUAUGAAUGGAGUUUUUAAUGGCUAUUUUAUUUUUUUUUUUUUUGAAUUAUUUUUUUUUUUAAAAAUUAUUAGGUAGAUUACUACAAAGAUAAGUCUUCGGAAAUUUGUUUUUACUUGUUUUGUUAUGGAUGUUAUGUAAAUUUUUCUUGGGAAUGGAUUUUAUGAAAUUUUUAUACUAUUUUUAUUAUUUUAAAUUACUCCGGAGUUAACAGGGUUGUGGACAUAUAAGUAGUUUUUAUAUUAGUGUGCUGCGCUACAUCGAUGUUGUAUAUUUUUUGGGAAGGAAGAGAGAAGUUUUUUUUUUUGAGACUGUUCUUCUUGUAUAAAAAAUGAACUUGAUAUUAGUUUAGUUCGUCGUGAGACAGAGCGGUUUAUCUUGUGUAAUCUUUUUUUUUGUUGGGGCUAGUACGAAAGGAAAGUUACGGGGGUUAAUAUUUAUGACUUUUUUAUUUAUAAGAGUUUUUUCUUU